UAAAAACACAAAAAUAUACUUGACACUGAUUCUACCCAGCUAUACAACGGGACUUUAUGAUGCAAUUAGACACGCGUCUGCUCCAUAGUGCUCGUCACAAGAUUCUUGUCUCCCACAAAAACUCUCUCUCGUCGUCGUCGUCGCUUUUAAUCGAUUUCAUACGUAUUCUAAUAAAUCAUUUCCCGAUGCGUUCAAUGUAGUUUCAGACUCCUCAGAUUCAAUGGAAAAUCAUCAAUCACAUCCUUAUACAAAAUUGCAAUACCCCAGUCCUUUGAUAUCGUAGAAAUUCCAACUAUUCCUUUUGACUCUCUCUCUCUAUCUCAUCAAUCAGAUGGCACAAUCUCAUCUGAUUGUGUUCUUCGCAGCAGUCUCGUGUCUCGUCGGUGUGCUCAACGCAAGUUCCGGUGAUGCUGAUCCGAUUUACAAGCAAUGGCCUUGCCAUUGAGCCGGCCCUGCUUGACGGGUAGGAUGAGAUCCUGGUUAGAUAUUUGGUGCUGGGAAGUUGACUUGUGUUCUUGGAAUUGGUGGAUUUCCAUAGCAACUGUCAGAUAAAUUAGACUAUCUAUGUGCAAGGUAGAUAGAUUUUCAUUUUGAUCAUUUGGUGAUUUUCCUCAAUUUUUUUGUUUGAAUUCCUACAAGAUUGUUGUAUCCUAUGGGUGAAAAUAGAUUGUGUGCAAGAUAAAUGCCUUUUUAGUUAAAUGCUGGAUGAUAAUGUGGUCUUUCCUUC